rnacentral:rRNA from 1 species
AGAAUCAACGCUGGCGGCGUGCCUCAGACAUGCAAGUCGAACGCGAAAGUCUCCUUCGGGGACAAGUAGAGUGGCGCACGGGUGAGUAACACGUAGGUAAUCUACCUUUGGAUGGGGAAUAACAACCGGAAACGGUUGCUAAUACCGCAUAAUGCAGCGGCACCUAAUGGUGACAGUUGUUAAAGCGGGGAUCGAAAGACCUCGCGUCUGAAGAGGAGCCUGCGCGAUAGCUAGUGGUAAGUAAUGGCUUACCAAGGCUACGAUCC